UACAGAGGGUGCGAGCGUUAAUCGGAAUUACUGGGCGUAAAGCGCACGUAGGCGGCCUGCUAAGUCGGAUGUGAAAGCCCAGGGCUCAACCCUGGAAGUGCAUUCGAAACUGGCGAGCUUGAAUGUCGGAGAGGGCAGUGGAAUUCCGAGUGUAGAGGUGAAAUUCGUAGAUAUUCGGAGGAACACCAGUGGCGAAGGCGACUGCCUGGACGAACAUUGACGCUGAGGUGCGAAAGCGUGGGGAGCAAACAGG
rnacentral:rRNA from 1 species